rnacentral:rRNA from 1 species
AGAGUUUGAUCCUGGCUCAGAGCGAAGCUGGCGGCAGGCCUAAAACAUGCAAGUCGAACGGAUCCUUCGGGAUUAGUGGCGGACGGGUGAGUAACACGUGGGAACGUGCCUUUUGGUUCGGAACAACUCAGGGAAACUUGAGCUAAUACCGAAUGUGCCCUUCGGGGGAAAGAUUUAUCGCCAUUAGAGCGGCCCGCGUCUGAUUAGCUUGUUGGUGAGGUAAAGGCUCACCAAGGCGACGAUCAGUAGCUGGUCUGAGAGGAUGAUCAGCCACACUGGGACUGAGACACGGCCCAGACUCCUACGGGAGGCAGCAGUUAGGAAUCUUGCGCAAUGGGGGAAACCCUGACGCAGCCAUGCCGCGUGAAUGAUGAAGGUCUUAGGAUUGUAAAAUUCUUUCAGCGGGGACGAUAAUGACGGUACCCGCAGAAGAAGCCCCGGCUAACUUCGUG